rnacentral:tRNA from 1 species
CUUAGUAAAGCUUUAAGUAAGCGUUUAACUGUUAAUUAAAAGAUCGUUAAUUUAUUAACUACUUUGA